AUGAACGCUGGCGGCGUGGAUAAGGCAUGCAAGUCGAACGACCGAGCACUCAAUUUUUAUUAAUUGAGUGCUCCGGUAGUGGCAAACGAGGUAGUAAUAAGUAGGUACGAACCCAAAAGUCAGGAAUAAUCCGGCGAAAGCCGGACUAAUACUUGAUAUCCCGCAAGGGGAAAGAUUUAUCGCUUUUGGAUCGGCCUGCUGAGUAUCAGCUAGUUGGUAAGGUAAUGGCUUACCAAGGCUAUGACGCUUAGGGGACCUGAGAGGGUGACCCUCACCGAUGGUACUGCGAAACGGACCAUACACCUACGGGUGGCUGCAGUCGAGAAUCUUCCACAAUGGACGCAAGUCUGAUGGAGCGACGCCGCGUGACUGAUGAAGGGCUUCGGUCUGUAAAGGUCUUUUAUAGGGGAAAAAGUUAUUGAUUGUACCUUAUGAAUAAGGGGUUGCCAAACUCGU
rnacentral:rRNA from 1 species